GUCUGGGUGGUGUAGUUGGUUAUCACGUUAGUCUCACACACUAGAGGUACCUAGUUCGAACCUGGGCUCACACA